AGUGAACGCUGGCGGUAGGCCUAACACAUGCAAGUCGAACGGCAGCACAGUAAGAGCUUGCUCUUACGGGUGGCGAGUGGCGGACGGGUGAGGAAUACAUCGGAAUCUACUUUUUCGUGGGGGAUAACGUAGGGAAACUUACGCUAAUACCGCAUACGACCUACGGGUGAAAGCAGGGGAUCUUCGGACCUUGCGCGAUUGAAUGAGCCGAUGUCGGAUUAGCUAGUUGGCGGGGUAAAGGCCCACCAAGGCGACGAUCCGUAGCUGGUCUGAGAGGACGAUCAGCCACACUGGAACUGAGACACGGUCCAGACUCCUACGGGAGGCAGCAGUGGGGAAUAUUGGACAAAGGGCGCAAGCCUGAUCCAGCCAUACCGCGUGGGUGAAGAAGGCCUUCGGGUUGUAAAGCCCUUUUGUUGGGAAAGAAAAGCAGCAGGUUAAUACCCCGCUGUUCUGACGGUACCCAAAGAAUAAGCACCGGCUAACUUCGUG
rnacentral:rRNA from 1 species